AUUGAACGCUGGCGGCAUGCUUUACACAUGCAAGUCGAACGGCAGCGCGGGCUUCGGCCUGGCGGCGAGUGGCGAACGGGUGAGUAAUGCAUCGGAACGUGCCCAGUAGUGGGGGAUAGCGCGGCGAAAGCCGGAUUAAUACCGCAUACGACCUGAGGGUGAAAGCGGGGGACCGAAAGGCCUCGCGCUAUUGGAGCGGCCGAUGUCGGAUUAGCUAGUUGGUGGGGUAAAGGCUUACCAAGGCGACGAUCCGUAGCUGGUCUGAGAGGACGACCAGCCACACUGGGACUGAGACACGGCCCAGACCCCUACGGGAGGCAGCAGUGGGGAAUUUUGGACAAUGGGGGCAACCCUGAUCCAGCCAUGCCGCGGGCGGGAAGAAGGCCUUCGGGUUGUAAACCGCUUUUGUUCGGGAAGAAAUCCUCUGGGCUAAUACCCCGGGGGAUGACGGUACCGGAAGAAUAAGCACCGGCUAACUACGUG
rnacentral:rRNA from 1 species